rnacentral:rRNA from 1 species
GUCCACGCCGUAAACGAUGAGUGCUAGACGCUGGGGGGUUAACCCUUCGGUGUCGCAGCUAACGCAUUAAGCACUCCGCCUGGGGAGUACGGCCGCAAGGUUGAAACUCAAAGAAUUGACGGGGGCCCGCACAAGCGGUGGAGCAUGUGGUUUAAUUCGAAGCAACGCGAAGAACCUUACCAGCCCUUGACAUGGGGAGUAUGGGUCGCAGAGACGUGACCCUUCAGUUCGGCUGGCUCCCACACAGGUGCUGCAUGGCUGUCGU